rnacentral:rRNA from 1 species
GACGAACCACACGAACGUUAUUCGGAAUCACUGGGCUUAAAGGGUGCGUAGGCUGCGCAGAAAGUUGGGUGUGAAAUACCUCGGCUCAACCGAGGAACUGCGCCCAAAACUACUGUGCUCGAGGGAGACAGAGGUGAGCGGAACUUAGGGUGGAGCGGUGAAAUGCGUUGAUAGUCCUAAGGAACACCGGUGGCGAAGGCGGUUCUCUGGGCAUGUCCUGACGCUGAGGAGCGAAAGUGUGGGGAGCGAACAGG